CGCAAGGUGGCGAGCGGCUGUCUGGUCUGUACUGACGCUGAGGCUCGAAAGUAUGGGUAGCAAACAGGAUUAGAUACCCUGGUAGUCCAUACCGUAAACGAUGAAUGCUAAGUGUUGGAGGGUUUCCGCCCUUCAGUGCUGCAGCUAACGCAUUAAGCAUUCCGCCUGGGGAGUACGGCCGCAAGGCUGAAACUCAAAGGAAUUGACGGGGGCCCGCACAAGCGGUGGAGCAUGUGGUUUAAUUCGAAGCUACGCGAAGAACCUUACCAGGUCUUGACAUACUAUGCAAAUCUAAGAGAUUAGACGUUCCCUUCGGGGACAUGGAUACAGGUGGUGCAUGGUUGUCGUCAGCUCGUGUCGUGAGAUGUUGGGUUAAGUCCCGCAACGAGCGCAACCCUUAUUAUCAGUUGCCAGCAUUAAGUUGGGCACUCUGGUGAGACUGCCGGUGACAAACCGGAGGAAGGUGGGGAUGACGUCAAAUCAUCAUGCCCCUUAUGACCUGGGCUACACACGUGCUACAAUGGAUGGUACAACGAGUUGCGAACUCGCGAGAGUAAGCUAAUCUCUUAAAGCCAUUCUCAGUUCGGAUUGUAGGCUGCAACUCGCCUACAUGAAGUCGGAAUCGCUAGUAAUCGCGGAUCAGCAUGCCGCGGUGAAUACGUUCCCGGGCCUUGUACACACCGCCCGUCACACCAUGAGAGUUUGUAACACCCAAAGUCGGUGGGGGUAACCUUUUAAGAACCAGCCGCCUAAAGGGGGACAGAAGAUUAAGGUGAAAUCCUAACAAGGAACCCUAAA
rnacentral:rRNA from 1 species